rnacentral:lncRNA from 1 species
AAUGUCAAGCCAAGAGUCUACUUUCAACAUGUAAAAUUUCAUGAGCAUUGGAUAAAAUCUCAGCAUUUCAUAAAAGAUAUGGCAAGCUAAGGUCAAGAAUGGACAUGUGUACACAAAACCUAGGCAAAAUAAUUUUCCAGCCAAGCACAAUUUAUGAAAAAAUAAUAAAAAAAAACUAGAGAGAAAAUGUGACACAAUGCAAAAAUUCUCAUAUUUUUUGAAUCAUUAUUUAAUUAGAUAUGGAUUUUAGAAGUGAGAAAAAAA